GCAUGCUGAUCCACGAUUACUAGCGAUUCCGGCUUCAUGCAGGCGAGUUGCAGCCUGCAAUCCGAACUGGGAACGGUUUUAUGGGAUUGGCUCCACCUCGCGGUUUCGCGACCCUCUGUACCGUCCAUUGUAGCACGUGUGUAGCCCAGGUCAUAAGGGGCAUGAUGAUUUGACGUCAUCCCCACCUUCCUCCGGUUUGUCACCGGCAGUCACCUUAGAGUGCCCAACUGAAUGCUGGCAACUAAGAUCAAGGGUUGCGCUCGUUACGGGACUUAACCCAACAUCUCGCGACACGAGCUGACGACAACCAUGCACCACCUGUCACCGUUGUCCCCGAAGGGAAAGGUCUAUCUCUAGACCGGGCAACGGGGUGUCAAGACCUGGUAAGGUUCUUCGCGUAGCUUCGAAUUAAACCACAUGCUCCACCGCUUGUGCGGGUCCCCGUCAAUUCCUUUGAGUUUCAGCCUUGCGGCCGUACUCCCCAGGCGGAGUGCUUAAUGCGUUUGCCCCAGCACUAAGGGGCGGA
rnacentral:rRNA from 1 species